GGGGCAACCUGGCGGCGAGCGGCGAACGGGUGAGUAACACAUCGGAACGUACCCAGUGGUGGGGGAUAGCCCGGCGAAAGCCGGAUUAAUACCGCAUACGACCUGAGGGUGAAAGUGGGGGACCGCAAGGCCUCACGCCGUUGGAGCGGCCGAUGUCGGAUUAGCUAGUUGGUGGGGUAAAGGCCUACCAAGGCGACGAUCCGUAGCUGGUCUGAGAGGACGACCAGCCACACUGGAACUGAGACACGGUCCAGACUCCUACGGGAGGCAGCAGUGGGGAAUUUUGGACAAUGGGCGCAAGCCUGAUCCAGCCAUUCCGCGUGAGUGAAGAAGGCCUUCGGGUUGUAAAGCUCUUUCGGCAGGGAAGAAACGGCCCUAGCUAAUAUCUAGGGUUAAUGACGGUACCUGAAGAAGAAGCACCGGCUAACUACGUGCCAGCAGCCGCGGUAAUACGUAGGGUGCGAGCGUUAAUCGGAAUUACUGGGCGUAAAGCGUGCGCAGGCGGUUUUGUAAGACAGAUGUGAAAUCCCCGGGCUCAACCUGGGAACUGCGUUUGUGACUGCAAGACUCGAGUGCGGCAGAGGGGGGUGGAAUUCCACGUGUAGCAGUGAAAUGCGUAGAGAUGUGGAGGAACACCGAUGGCGAAGGCAGCCCCCUGGGUCGACACUGACGCUCAUGCACGAAAGCGUGGGGAGCAAACAGGAUUAGAUACCCUGGUAGUCCACGCCCUAAACGAUGCCAACUAGGUGUUGGGGAAGGAGACUUCCUUAGUACCGAAGCUAACGCGUGAAGUUGGCCGCCUGGGGAGUACGGUCGCAAGAUUAAAACUC
rnacentral:rRNA from 1 species